rnacentral:rRNA from 1 species
UACGUAGGGGGCGAGCGUUGUCCGGAUUCAUUGGGCGUAAAGCGCGCGCAGGCGGUGGCGUGAGCCCGGCGUGAAAGCCCCCAGCUCAACUGGGGGAGGCCGUCGGGGACCGCGCGACUGGAGGCCGGCAGGGGCGAGCGGAAUUCCCGGUGUAGUGGUGGAAUGCGUAGAGAUCGGGAGGAACACCGGUGGCGAAGGCGGCAUCCUGGACCGGUAUUGACGCUGAGGCGCGAAAGCCAGGGGAGCAAACGGGAUUAGAAACCCUAGUAGU